UUUCGCAAUGCCCGAAAGGGUGACGAAGCGACGCCGCGUGCGGGAAGAAGGCCUUCGGGUUGUAAACCGCUGUCGGGAGUUAGGAAGUGCAAGGAUGUUAAUAGCGUUCUUGCUUGACUAAGGCCCCGGAGGAAGCCACGGCUAACUCUGUGCCAGCAGCCGCGGUAAUACAGAGGCGGCAAGCGUUGUUCGGAAUUAUUGGGCGUAAAGAGCACGUAGGCGGCUGUGUAAGUCGGUUGUGAAAGCCUUCCGCUUAACGGAAGAACGGCAUCCGAUACUGCAUAGCUUGAGUGCGGGAGGGGAGAGUGGAACUUCUGGUGGAGCGGUGAAAUGCGUAGAUAUCAGAAGGAACACCGGCGGCGAAGGCGACUCUCUGGUCCGUAACUGACGCUGAGUGUGCGAAAGCUAGGGGAGCAAACGGGAUUAGAUACCCCGGUAGUCCUAGCCGUAAACGAUGGGCACUAAGUAGAGGGGUUUU
rnacentral:rRNA from 1 species